AUGACCGUGGCUGAGGUCUUGUCCGUGAAGACUCUAUCUUUCUGCAAAAGAGAAGGAAAGCUGUGAAGACCCCUUGGCAACAUAGUCACAGGCUUUUGGUGCGGACAUGUCUUGGAGCAGUUACAGUCAAUUGUCUCUAUGCUCAAUUUGCUUGUUUAUUCCAUGAAUACUGAGCGCCCAUUAUGUUCCAGCCACUGGACUGUGCAUGAAGGAUACAGCAGCUCUGGGAUUCAUCAUGGAAACUAUCUGGCAGCUGAAUCAAAGUGCAGUAAAGAGCAGCUGUAGUGGAGUGGAUCUGGAUUUGAACGGCUAGCUGUAAGAUCUGAGAUCUGGGGCAAGUUGCUUAACUUUUCUAAGACUCAAUUUCCUCUUCCUUAAAAUGCAG
rnacentral:lncRNA from 10 species